GACGGAGGGGGCAAGCGUUGUCCGGACUCACUGGGCGUAAAGGGUGCGUAGGCGGUUGCGUGCGUCGGCGCUGAAAUCCCUGGGCUUAACCCAGGGGCGCGUGCCGAUACGAUGCGACUUGAGGCUCGGAGAGGGUGGUAGAACUCCUGGUGUAGUGGUGGAAUGCGCAGAUAUCAGGAGGAACACCGGUGGCGAAGGCGGGUCUCUGGGCAGUAACUGACGCUGAGGAGCGAAAGCGUGGGGAGCGAACAGG
rnacentral:rRNA from 1 species